rnacentral:rRNA from 1 species
CCUACGGGUGGCAGCAGUCGAGAAUUUUUCACAAUGGGCGAAAGCCUGAUGGAGCGACGCCGCGUGGGGGAUGAAGGGCUUCGGCUUGUAAACCCCUGUCAUUCGCGACCAACGCUACAGGUCGAAUAGACGUGUGGUCUGAUGGUAGCGAAAGAGGAAGGAACGGCUAACUCUGUGCCAGCAGCCGCGGUAAUACAGAGGUUCCAAGCGUUGUUCGGAUUCACUGGGCGUAAAGGGUGCGCAGGCGGUCGGGUAAGUCUGAGGUAAAAUCCCCGGGCGCAACCCGGAAAGGGCAUUGGAUACUAUCCGGCUGGAGGGUUGCAGGGGGGACUGAAAUUCUCGGUGUAGAAGUGAAAUGCGUAGAUAUCGAGAGGAACACCCGUGGCGAAGGCAAGUCCCGGGACAACUCCUGACGCU